GCUCUUGGCUCCUGCUUUCCCCCUCCUCGUCCGCUCGUCAUCCUCGACUUGACCCUCGACAGUUCAUCCUCAGACUGAUUAGUUAACUAUAUGGUCAACAGCUUCACCUUAAUUCCUGUGCCACCGGCUGCUGCUAUUAUGUAGUAGUAGUAUGUGAUGGUUUUCGUUCGCACGUCCAGUUGCAUGUACUUUACAAGAUAGGCGUACCGCAACAUGUACACUAUAGACUACUUAUCCUCGGUCGACGUGUCUUCUCCUGCUUCAUAUGUUUCCGCCGGUUGAUGCUUUUAUAUGGACUUUCUUCUAGAGACACCAUAUUUCUGUUAUAUCAUGCAUGAGUGUUGUCUAAGUUUCUAUAUUUAAUUAGUAAACUAACUGGAUUUUGCUAAGAAAAUUGCAUGGACCAAGGUCUAAAUUUAGUUGGAAGUAAUACUGUAUUAAUUUGAUAUAUACCUUUGUUUCUAUUUCUGUAAAUAUAUACAGCUGUAUUUUGCGAGU
rnacentral:sRNA from 1 species